UUUUUUUUAAGUUAGCUACUAGACAAAUGGAGAGGAGUGCCAACUGGGUUUCAAAGGCUAUCACUGUCUUUUAAGGAUAGGCAGGAUUUUAAGUAUGUUAGCAUUCGAGUAGGAAUGUGUAGUAGAGAACGUUAUUAAAAGUGAUCCUGAUCUAGCCAUCCUGGAUGGCUCAGUCAGUUCAGUGUCUGAUUCUUGUUUUCAGCUCAGGUCAUGAUCUCAGAGUCCUGGGAUCAAGCACCUGUCAGGCUCUGUGCUCCAUGGGGAGUCUGCUUGAGAUUUUCUCCCUCUCCCUCUGCCCCUCCCUGCUGCACUCUUUCUCGCUUAAAUAAAUAAAUUUUUUUUUUAAAGGUGACCCUGAUACAGUAGUUCUGAAUUUCACUGUGUAGACUGCAGUCUAUUAAGAUUUGGGGGACCACAUGAGGUAGUCUGUGUAAAACGUGAAGGUGACUCCGUUGGUUUCAGGGUUUAUGUUCUCCCACUUAUCCACCCAAAGGGCAGCACAUUUCCAUGGAGGAAGGUGAGGACAGAUAUGAGCAGUCCACCUGUGCAAUCCCUUGCAGAGUCAUCUUGCUUAGAUCAGAAAGCCAUGGCAAUCUCACCCUUCCUACGCGCACUGAGUCACUGCUUGGCCCUGCAGUCCCAACCAGCUCCCGAGGUCCUGCCUGACCUAAGGUCUAAUUUCCAGCACUGAGGAAAGGACAGGAUCAGCGAAAUAGAAUCACUCCAGGUCACGCUGACCUGUGUGAUUCUAAAAUACAGACGUUAGACUUUUUAAAAAUAAUUACUUCCCUUCUAAUCUUUUCCUCCUAUGUAUUUUCAUCAUCUCUCAUUUGCUCCUGUGUGUUUCAUUGUUCUGGAACCAGUUGCUUUCCUGAAGCUCUUAUUGGGGAAGGAUGCUGCUUUAUUUCCCUAUUGCUUGAACCAGAAAAGAAAUCCUUGUUCUUUGUGAAUGUCCUGUGUUCUUUGGAAGAGCAAAGCACCAUUCAACACCAAAGCUGGCCAUUGGGAUUCUCAUAUUCUUAGACCAAGGUGAGGAAUUCAUUCCCUGCAAGGUAAAUAAACUACACAAUGAUAAUAGCA
rnacentral:lncRNA from 12 species